rnacentral:rRNA from 1 species
UACGGGGGGGGCAAGCGUUGUUCGGAAUUACUGGGCGUAAAGGGCUCGUAGGCGGCCAACUAAGUCAGACGUGAAAUCCCUCGGCUUAACCGGGGAACUGCGUCUGAUACUGGAUGGCUUGAGUUUGGGAGAGGGAUGCGGAAUUCCAGGUGUAGCGGUGAAAUGCGUAGAUAUCUGGAGGAACACCGGUGGCGAAGGCGGCGAUCUGGGUAGAUACUGACGCUGAGGUGCGAAAGCGUGGGGAGCAAACAGG